GCCAAUAUGACUGAACUCCAGUUUUUGUGGUUGUCGCCACCGCCGCCGCUGCUAGGGCUGGUGAUACAAUGCCGCUGAGGAAUGAUCCUUUAAGCAACCACUGGCAACAGAACCUCAGCCCUUUAAGGUCAGAAUAUUAUUGCUUUUACCAUCAGAAGUUUAAAUCUUCAGGGGGGAAAUGAAGCAGAGCAGUGCUCAAGGAAGGUUUACAGCUAAGGAGGCUCCAUGGAGGAUUGCCUGAAGGACAUGAAGUCCAUCCAUCUCUCCAGAUAGUUUAGAUUAUAUCUCAAGAUCAAGAUGUGGAAGCCAGGAUUCAAAGAUGACACAGGUGGCAAUGCUGGCCAUCAAGCUAAAGCGUCAUACCAUGCUGGCCUCUUCCUAAAACUCUAUUAAGGCAGGGGAAGGGGGACUCUUGUGGGCUGCACUUUCCAGCUUCCUAUGUCAGCUGCAGUCAACCCAUGAGAGGCUGACUUCUAAGAAAUGCUUACAAGCAAGAGACAGGACAGCUGGAACACAGGAGGAAGGGAAUGUUCUCUUCUCUUUCUGCUUGUAGCUGCAUCUCUACCAACAGUUGUAUCUUCAUUACUCUAACUGAGAAUUAUCAUGGUUUCAGGUUUCACUACAAGACCCUGGUCUCUGGGGCUCAUUAAUUAUCUCUGGGCUUCUCAAAUCCUAGAGGGGAUAAGUGACUUCUUACUGUUGCUACUCAAUACUUUAUUUAACUUCUUAGCUCUUUCAUCAUCUAUGUAACAAAUUCCCUGAAUUAAAUUCCUUCUGUUUUCCUGGUUGGACCCUGACUGAUCCAAUUCACUGUGUAAGUAUGUAUGUAAUAGGUCAUGAUACAUAAUACAUUU